GGUAAAAUGGCUGAAAUUUAGGCGAUAAAUUGUAAAUUUAUUCAUGGAUAACUCCUUUUGCUA
rnacentral:tRNA from 1 species